rnacentral:rRNA from 1 species
UACGGGGGGAGCAAGCGUUGUUCGGAUUUACUGGGCGUAAAGGGCGCGUAGGCGGCCAGCACAAGUCAGUUGUGAAAUCUCCGAGCUUAACUCGGAAAGGUCAACUGAUACUGUGCGGCUAGAGUGCGGAAGGGGCAACUGGAAUUCUUGGUGUAGCGGUGAAAUGCGUAGAUAUCAAGAGGAACACCGGUGGCGAAGGCGGGUCUCUGGGCAGUAACUGACGCUGAGGAGCGAAAGCGUGGGGAGCAAACCGG